UACGGAGGGUCCAAGCGUUAUCCGGAAUCAUUGGGUUUAAAGGGUGCGUAGGUGGGUCUGUAAGUCAGUGGUGAAAUCUCCGAGCUUAACUCGGAAACUGCCAUCGAUACUAUAGAUCUUGAAUUAUCUGGAGGUAAGCGGAAUAUGUCAUGUAGCGGUGAAAUGCUUAGAUAUGACAUAGAACACCAAUUGCGAAGGCAGCUUACUACGGAUCGAUUGACACUGAGGCACGAAAGCGUGGGGAUCAAACAGG
rnacentral:rRNA from 1 species